rnacentral:rRNA from 1 species
AGAGUUUGAUCAUGGCUCAGAUUGAACGCUGGCGGCAGGCCUAACACAUGCAAGUCGAGCGGUAACAGAAAGUAGCUUGCUACUUUGCUGACGAGCGGCGGACGGGUGAGUAAUGCUUGGGAACAUGCCUUGAGGUGGGGGACAACAGUUGGAAACGACUGCUAAUACCGCAUAAUGUCUACGGACCAAAGGGGGCUUCGGCUCUCGCCUUUAGAUUGGCCCAAGUGGGAUUAGCUAGUUGGUGAGGUAAUGGCUCACCAAGGCGACGAUCCCUAGCUGGUUUGAGAGGAUGAUCAGCCACACUGGGACUGAGACACGGCCCAGACUCCUACGGGAGGCAGCAGUGGGGAAUAUUGCACAAUGGGCGCAAGCCUGAUGCAGCCAUGCCGCGUGUGUGAAGAAGGCCUUCGGGUUGUAAAGCACUUUCAGUCAGGAGGAAAGGUUAACGGUUAAUACCCGUUAGCUGUGACGUUACUGACAGAAGAAGCACCGGCUAACUCCGUGCCAGCAGCCGCGGUAAUACGGAGGGUGCGAGCGUUAAUCGGAAUUACUGGGCGUAAAGCGUACGCAGGCGGUUUGUUAAGCGAGAUGUGAAAGCCCCGGGCUCAACCUGGGAACUGCAUUUCGAACUGGCAAACUAGAGUGUGAUAGAGGGUGGUAGAAUUUCAGGUGUAGCGGUGAAAUGCGUAGAGAUCUGAAGGAAUACCGAUGGCGAAGGCAGCCACCUGGGUCAACACUGACGCUCAUGUACGAAAGCGUGGGGAGCAAACGGGAUUAGAUACCCUGGUAGUCCACGCCGUAAACGAUGUCUACUAGAAGCUCGGAGCCUCGGUUCUGUUUUUCAAAGCUAACGCAUUAAGUUGACCGCCUGGGGAGUACGGCCGCAAGGUUAAAAC